rnacentral:rRNA from 1 species
GACGAACGCUGGCGGCGUGCCUAAUACAUGCAAGUCGAGCGGACAGAAGGGAGCUUGCUCCCGGAAGUUAGCGGCGGACGGGUGAGUAACACGUGGGCAACCUACCCUGUAGAUCGGGAUAACAUCGAGAAAUCGGUGCUAAUACCGGAUAAUCAUUUGAAGUGCAUGCUUCGAAUGUAAAAGAUGGCUCCGGCUAUCACUACGGGAUGGGCCCGCGGCGCAUUAGCUAGUUGGUAAGGUAAUGGCUUACCAAGGCAACGAUGCGUAGCCGACCGGAGAGGGUGAUCGGCCACACUGGGACUGAGACACGGCCCAGAAUCCUACGGGAGGCAGCAGUAGGGAAUCUUCCGCAAUGGACGAAAGUCUGACGGAGCAACGCCGCGUGAGUGAUGAAGGUUUUCGGAUCGUAAAGCUCUGUUGUUAGGGAAGAACAAGUGCCGUUUGAAUAAGGCGGCACCUUGACGGUACCUAACCAGAAAGCCACGGCUAACUACGUGCCAGCAGCCGCCGUAAUAC